rnacentral:lncRNA from 1 species
GUUGAGGAUUCCAGCCAUAAAUACUCGGAGACGUCUAUGGACAAAUGCCUUCCUUCCUCCAAGUGACUGUGAAAUUUGGAGAGGAGAGUUCAGAAAAUGGGAGUGUUAAAAUAUAAACCACCCAGAGAUCCUCUCUGCACCACACCACCUUGUCUGCUGGGAAGUGGGGGAGGAGUGGCCUCAGUGAUUCAGGACUCUCCUUUCUGCCUCUUCAGAAUGUCUUUCAGCGAUAUGAAGUUAAAACCAGGUACCAUGAGGGCUCACCUGAUUUUUGGUUCUCAUGAAGGUGUUUUUUUUUUUUUUUUUUUUUUGGUGUGUAGAUAGUUGUUAAAUUGGUGU